rnacentral:rRNA from 1 species
GACGAACGCUGGCGGCGUGCUUAACACAUGCAAGUCGAACGAAGAGCGAUGGAAGCUUGCUUCUAUCAAUCUUAGUGGCGAACGGGUGAGUAACGCGUAAUCAACCUGCCCUUCAGAGGGGGACAACAGUUGGAAACGACUGCUAAUACCGCAUACGAUCUAAUCUCGGCAUCGAGGAUAGAUGAAAGGUGGCCUCUACAUGUAAGCUAUCACUGAAGGAGGGGAUUGCGUCUGAUUAGCCAGUUGGAGGGGUAACGGCCCACCAAGGCGAUGAUCAGUAGCCGGUCUGAGAGGAUGAACGGCCACAUUGGGACUGAGACACGGCCCAGACUCCUACGGGAGGCAGCAGUGGGGAAUCUUCCGCAAUGGACGAAAGUCUGACGGAGCAACGCCGCGUGAGUGAUGACGGCCUUCGGGUUGUAAAGCUCUGUUAAUCGGGACGAAAGGCCUUCUUGCGAAUAGGGAGAAGGAUUGACGGUACCGGAAUAGAAAGCCACGGCUAACUACGUG